rnacentral:rRNA from 1 species
GACGAACGCUGGCGGCAUGCCUAAUACAUGCAAGUCGAGCGGAGUUGAUGGAAAGCUUGCUUUCCUGAUACUUAGCGGCGGACGGGUGAGUAACACGUAGGCAACCUGCCCUCAAGCUUGGGACAACUACCGGAAACGGUAGCUAAUACCGAAUACUUGUUUUUUUCGCCUGAAGAGAACUGGAAAGACGGAGCAAUCUGUCACUUGGGGAUGGGCCUGCGGCGCAUUAGCUAGUUGGUGAGGUAACGGCUCACCAAGGGGACGAUGCGUAGCCGACCUGAGAGGGUGAUCGGCCACACUGGGACUGAGACACGGCCCAGACUCCUACGGGAGGCAGCAGUAGGGAAUCUUCCGCAAUGGGCGAAAGCCUGACGGAGCAAUGCCGCGUGAGUGAUGAAGGUUUUCGGAUCGUAAAGCUCUGUUGCCAGGGAAGAACGCUUGGGAGAGUAACUGCUCCCAAGGUGACGGUACCUGAGAAGAAAGCCCCGGCUAACUACAUGCCAGCAGCCGCCGUAA